rnacentral:rRNA from 1 species
AGUGAACGCUGGCGGUAGGCCUAACACAUGCAAGUCGAACGGCAGCACAGUAAGAGCUUGCUCUUACGGGUGGCGAGUGGCGGACGGGUGAGGAAUACAUCGGAAUUUACUUUUUCGUGGGGGAUAACGUAGGGAAACUUACGCUAAUACCGCAUACGACCUACGGGUGAAAGCAGGGGAUCUUCGGACCUUGCGCGAUUGAAUGAGCCGAUGUCGGAUUAGCUAGUUGGCGGGGUAAAGGCCAACCAAGGCGACGAUCCUUAGCUGGUCUGAGAGGAUGAUCAGCCACACUGGAACUGAGGCUCGGCCCAGACUCCGACGGGAGGCAGCAGUGGAGAAUAUUAGACAAUGGGGGCAAGCCUGAUCCAGCCAUACCGCGUGGGUGAAGAAGGCCUUCGGGUGGGAAAGCCCUGUUGUUGGUAAAGAAAAGCAGCAGGUUAAUACCCCGCGGUUCUGACGGUACCCAAAGAAUAAGCACCGGCUAACUUCGUG